rnacentral:rRNA from 1 species
AUUGAACGCUGGCGGCAUGCUUUACACAUGCAAGUCGAACGGUAACAGGCCGCAAGGUGCUGACGAGUGGCGAACGGGUGAGUAAUGCAUCGGAACGUGCCCAGUCGUGGGGGAUAACGCAGCGAAAGCUGUGCUAAUACCGCAUACGAUCUAUGGAUGAAAGCGGGGGACCGUAAGGCCUCGCGCGAUUGGAGCGGCCGAUGUCAGAUUAGGUAGUUGGUGGGGUAAAGGCCUACCAAGCCAACGAUCUGUAGCUGGUCUGAGAGGACGAUCAGCCACACUGGGACUGAGACACGGCCCAGACUCCUACGGGAGGCAGCAGUGGGGAAUUUUGGACAAUGGGCGCAAGCCUGAUCCAGCAGUGCCGCGUGCAGGAAGAAGGCCUUCGGGUUGUAAACUGCUUUUGUACGGAACGAAACGGUCUGGGUUAAUACCCUGGACUAAUGACGGUACCGUAAGAAUAAGCACCGGCUAACUACGUGCCAGCAGCCGCAGUAAAAC